UACAGAGGUCUCAAGCGUUGUUCGGAUUUUCAUUGGGCGUAAAGGGUGCGUAGGUGGCGCGGUAAGUCGGGUGUGAAAUUUUUCGGAGCUUAACUCCGAAACUGCAUUCGAUACUGCCGUGCUUGAGGACUGGAGAGGAGACUGGAAUUUACGGUGUAGCAGUGAAAUGCGUAGAGAUCGUAAGGAAGACCAGUGGCGAAGGCGGGUCUCUGGACAGUUCCUGACACUGAGACACGAAGGCUAGGGGAGCAAACGGG
rnacentral:rRNA from 1 species